CGGGAAGUAGCUUAAUUGGGAGAGUAUAGUUUUGAUAAAGCUAAGGGUAUUGGUUCGAUUCCAAUUUUGCCGA
rnacentral:tRNA from 1 species